GAAAAAUCAUGAAACUAAAUAAUGACGUUUGUAUCAUCCUAAUCCAGGUGAAGAUUACAUCUCACAUUCCAGGGGCCUGUUGCACAAAAGUAGAAUUAAGACAUCCGGGAUAAAUGACUCAGCUGAGCUCAAUGAAGCCAAAACAUGUGCGUCCAGGCUUAAUUGGUUGCACAAAGACCAAGCCAGGAUGAGCAGACACGGAUUCAUUAAGCCAGGUGAAACCAAUCCUGGAUAGGUGCGCGCUCACGGCUCACUCAAAUAGACCCCGCCACAGAUCACAGAUUAACUGAUUUACCAUGGCAACUAGAGCCGCGUACUUUUCCCCGUCGGAAGCACAAAUCCUCAUGGAGGCAUACGAGGAGGUAAAAGAUAUAAUUAAGAAGAAAGGCAACACCGCCACAGUGAUAAAGCAAAGAGAAAAAGCGUGGCAAAGUAUUGCAGACCGCCUGAAUGCGUAAGUAGUGCACAAUUACACAGUCACCGCUCCGCUGAAACAUCACAAUUACAAUUCAAAUAUUUAAUUCACAUCUCCAAAAAUGCAGUUGUACUGUAAUUAUGAAACGGUUAAAUUUUUAAUUGAAAUGCACUGCAGAUAUGAGUGAAAUUGUGUAAAGUAACUCCAUCACACUGUAUAAAGCUAUGAUAGAUUUUUUGAUAUUUUUACUGAAAACAAGACAAAAAUACCAAGUAAUUUUUUGCAGUGUGACUCCAUUAAAUGUGUGUGUGUGUGUGUGUGUGUGUAGAUUAAACAUGAACGGGCCAAAACGGACAUGGCAGCAGGUCAAAAUCAAAUACAAGAACAUUCUGCAGAAUGCAGUGAAAAAGAAUACCCACAGACAAGGCACGGGUGGUGGGUCACCAAAGGCUGACCUUACCCCAGCAGAGGACAUGGCCUUGGAGCUAAAUAAAGGCAGGCCCGUCUUAGAGGGGAUCCCUGGGGGGAAAGAGACGAGCAUAGGUUCCUCCCAAGAUGCCACCCGCUUCAUUCAAGUGUCUGGCAGCACUGUGUUCCUGUUAGAGCCACCAGCACAAGCACCAGACGAUGCUGAUCCAGGUGAAGGCCCCAGUGCAGCAGCAACAGCACAUGAUGGAGACGAUGAUGAGGAGGAGACCAUCUCUCUGGAUUCCAGAAGGCAUGAGGUAUCAUGUUAAGACUGUGAAAGUACUAUUUACUCUACAAUGGUGAGGAGUCCUCAUCAAAAUCAAAAAAUCUAAUUUCUUUUACAGGACCCAGAUGCUAUACAGUGGGAAAACCAGCCUGGCAACAUAGUGCGUAUUAAUAAAAGGACACCACAUCCUGCCAAAUUCCAGCUGCGCUAAUUGUAUUGUGUUCACAGAGCUCACAAGCUAUCAGAAAGUUGUAUGGCAACCACCUCCGGCGCCAAAUAGAACUGGCAGACAUAGACAUUCAGUACAAGAAGAAAAAGAUGGAAAAUCUUGCACUGGAGUCCGAAAUAAAAAAGAGGACAAUUAGGAAACUGGACCUUGAAAUAAAAAAACUUGAGAGGGAGGUGAGAUAUGCCUUCAAUGUACACUGUAUGCUAACUGUAACACAAAUGUAUUAAUCAUUAUUUUUCUUUCCUCCCCCAGCUCCAAGAAGAUGACACAGCUCAAAAUAAAAAUUAGGUAUAUUCUCGUAAAGUCAAGUGAGCCAUGACAUAUGAGCUCUUAUUGUGAGCACACAGGACGGUGGCAUCUUUCUAAGUUUUUUUUUAUUUUCCCAGCAAUCAGUACAACCAAGUCAUCGUUAUAAGGCAUCGCCCUCUUUUGCCCACCCCCCCAGCACCAGGUGUGGCCACUAGCCUAUAUGAAGGCCCAAAAUUGUGUGUUCCUUUCUGCUCUGACAAUGGCAUGCCCAUUCGUGCGAGAUGUGGUGGAUGAAGAAGCACUUGUGCUGAGGAGAGCCUUCAAGCGAGAAAGGGUCUUCAGGGACCGGUUGGACCCACUGGCCUUCCCUGAUGACCAUCUAUAUGAAAGAUACAGGUUUUCUGCAGAUGGCAUCAGGUAUCUAUGCAGACUACUGGGUCCCAGGAUUAAGCACCGCACUGCACGGAGCCAUGCACUGAGUGUGGAGCAAAUGGUUUGUGUGGCCUUGCGCUUUUUUGCUAGUGGAGCCUUCCUGUACUCAGUGGGGGAUGCAGAACAGCUGAACAAGGCCACAAUUUGCCGCACAAUAAGGAGUGUGUGUCUGGCUAUCAAAGCAUUAGCAGAUGUCUUCAUCUCCUUCCCUGGCCACAGAAGACUCUGUGACAUCAAAGAGGA
ensembl:lncRNA